UGGGGAAUAUUGCACAAUGGGGGGAACCCUGAUGCAGCAACGCCGCGUGAGUGAAGAAGUACCUCGGUAUGUAAAGCUCUAUCAGCAGGGAAGAAAAGGAACCUCGGUUCCACAUGACGGUACCUGACCAAGAAGCACCGGCUAAAUACGUGCCAGCAGCCGCGGUAAUACGUAUGGUGCAAGCGUUAUCCGGAUUUACUGGGUGUAAAGGGAGCGCAGGCGGCGCGGCAAGUCAGAUGUGAAAGCCCGGGGCUCAACCCCGGGACUGCAUUUGAAACUGCCGGGCUAGAGUAUCGGAGAGGC
rnacentral:rRNA from 1 species